rnacentral:rRNA from 1 species
GAUGAACGCUGGCGGCGUGCCUAAUACAUGCAAGUCGAGCGGACGGACGAGAAGCUUGCUUCUCUGAUGUUAGCGGCGCACGGGUGAGUAACACGUGGAUAACCUACCUAUAAGACUGGGAUAACUUCGGGAAACCGGAGCUAAUACCGGAUAAUAUUUUGAACCGCAUGGUUCAAAAGUGAAAGACGGUCUUGCUGUCACUUAUAGAUGGAUCCGCGCUGCAUUAGCUAGUUGGUAAGGUAACGGCUUACCAAGGCAACGAUGCAUAGCCGACCUGAGAGGGUGAUCGGCCACACUGGAACUGAACCACGGUCCAGACUCCUGAGGGAGGCAGCAGUAGGGAAUCUUACGCAAUGGGCGAAAGCCUGACGGAACAACGCCGCGUGAGUGAUGAAGAUCUUCGGAUCGUAAAACUCUGUUAUUAGGGAAGAACAUAUGUGUAAGUAACUGUGCACAUCUUGACGGUACCUAAUCAGAAAGCCACGGCUAACUACGUG